rnacentral:rRNA from 1 species
GGAGAGGGCUAGCGUUAUUCGGAAUUAUUGGGCGUAAAGGGCGCGUAGGCGGAUUAGUAAGUUAAAAGUGAAAUCCCAAGGCUCAACCUUGGAAUUGCUUUUAAAACUGCUAAUCUAGAGAUUGAAAGAGGAUAGAGGAAUUCCUAGUGUAGAGGUGAAAUUCGUAAAUAUUAGGAGGAACACCAGUGGCGAAGGCGUCUAUCUGGUUCGAAUCUGACGCUGAGGCGCGAAGGCGUGGGGAGCAAACAGGAUUAGAUACCCUGGUAGUCCACGCUGUAAACGAUGAAUGUUAAAUAUGGGGAGUUUACUUUCUGUAUUACAGCUAACGCGUUAAACAUUCCGCCUGGGGACUACGGUCGCAAGAUUAAAACUCAAAGGAAUUGACGGGGACCCGCACAAGCGGUGGAGCAUGUGGUUUAAUUCGAUGCAACGCGAAAAACCUUACCACUCCUUGACAUGGAAAUUAUACCUAUUCGAAGGGAUAGGGUCGGUUCGGCCGGGUUUCACACAGGUGU